rnacentral:rRNA from 1 species
CCUACGGGGGGCAGCAGUGAGGAAUAUUGGUCAAUGGGCUUACGCCUGAACCAGCCAAGUCGCGUGAGGGAAGACUGCCCUAUGGGUUGUAAACCUCUUUUGUCAGGGAGCAACGCCGGCUACGUGUAGCCGGACUGAGAGUACCUGAAGAAAAAGCAUCGGCUAACUCCGUGCCAGCAGCCGCGGUAAUACGGCGGAUGCGAGCGUUAUCCGGAUUUAUUGGGUUUAAAGGGUGCGUAGGCGGAAUGCCAAGUCAGCGGUAAAAUGGCGGGGCUCAACCUCGCUCCGCCGUUGAAACUGGCGUUCUUGAGUGGGCGAGAGGUAAGCGGAAUUCCUAGUGUAGCGGUGAAAUGCGUAGAUAUUAGGAGGAACACCAGUGGCGAAGGCGGCUUACUGGACUGUAACUGACGUUGAGGCUCGAAAGCGUGGGGAGCAAACAGGAUUAGAUACCCGGGUAGUC